UACGUAGACAAGAAUAAGAUUGAGAUUCAGUUCCACAGGUCUCAUUACUGAACUUGAUGGUUGAAAUCCCCAAACUAGGUUCUUUCUUCUUAUUAGGAAAUGAGGGGAUAAGAUAAGUAGUUAUAGAGGAAUAUACUGAGUUGAUAGGGGAAGUAAGUCACACCCCUGUGCCCAGUCUCUGCCCACAGGAGAAUAAGAUGACAGCUCUGUAGAAGCAUAGUAGACUUCAACUUUAAAAGAGGUAUUCUGUCUGUUUUGAGAACUGGCAACGGUAUAAUUUAGAUGAUCGACAGACCUGGUUGUGCAAUUUCAAACUGUAAAGUGAAUAGGAAUUAUCUGAGGAUCCUGUUAAAAUGCAGAUUGUGAUUCAGUGAGGGCCCAGCAGGAAAGGAACGGACAUUCAGAUUAAGUAAACAGGGGCUUUAUGUACAGUCACUAGACUGCCAAACAGACAACUUCUGCUUACAUGGAGCGUGAGGGUAAAGAAACAAUGUCA